rnacentral:rRNA from 1 species
AUUGAACGCUGGCGGCAUGCUUUACACAUGCAAGUCGAACGGCAGCGCGGGCUUCGGCCUGGCGGCGAGUGGCGAACGGGUGAGUAAUACAUCGGAACGUGCCCAGUAGUGGGGGAUAGCUCGGCGAAAGCCGGAUUAAUACCGCAUACGACCUGAGGGUGAAAGCGGGGGAUCUUCGGACCUCGCGCUAUUGGAGCGGCCGAUGGCAGAUUAGCUAGUUGGUGGGGUAAAGGCCUACCAAGGCGACGAUCUGUAGCUGGUCUGAGAGGACGACCAGCCACACUGGGACUGAGACACGGCCCAGACUCCUAAGGGAGGCAGCAGUGGGGAAUUUUGGACAAUGGGCGAAAGCCUGAUCCAGCAAUGCCGCGUGUGUGAUGAAGGCCUUCGGGUUGUAAAGCACUUUUGGCGGGAACGAAAAGGACUGUGCCAAUACCACGGUUCGAUGACGGUACCCGCAGAAUAAGCACCGGCUAACUACGCG